CUAUCUUGCUGCUACACACUCAGUUGCCUGGAACAGCUAUUGCCUAAAAGAAGUGCUCCUCAUUUUAAUGUGCUUUUUGGUUUUGUUUUGGUUCGUUUUUGAGGGGAGAGGGUGGAGGAGUCUCAAUUGUCUUCCCAGCAAGCUGCACUAGAUGGCAGUAAGUAAGUAAGGGAAAUGAGUUAGAAACCACGCUUUGGAAGGACUGAGUGAAAAACCUCAGCGACCAAGCGGCUUACCCCAUUACAGCCCAAAAUAAGAGGCAGCUCCCUGAAGGAGCAGCUUCCUAAAAGAGAUCAGGGUUUGUUUACUGUGUCUCUUCAACCUCUGGGAAGGCUGUGACUGUGAGGACACUAAAACUCAGCUGGAAAACUCCUGCCUUUGCCAGCUCUGCUGCAGGGAUACAAAAGCUUGCCUCCCAGCCUCGGUCUCUGCAGCCAGCUCUCAUCAUAGGCCCCACAAAGGAGCAACCCAACCCCUCAGUGCCAUGAGGACACAGGGUACCCAGGGAACGCAGCAGGGUCUCCCAGGUGGAAACAUGAGGCUUAAAUAACAUUUCACAUUUUGGAAUUGAGAUGAAAAAGACAAGGAAAAGCUUGCAAUGAUCUAAGGCUCUGUCACUACAUAGCUCACUGGAGCAGCAGACAAGGAGGUCUGCUGAGCUGCAAAGAACAAUCUGCUCUCAUUUAUAUCCAAUUUAGUGAUGAGCUAAUGUGGAUUUAAAGGACCAAAGUCUGGAAUGCAACACUAGUGAGUCCCCAGCAUUUCCAAAUUAAAGGGAAGAGUCUCUCUUAACAUUUCUCUUCCUUUAGCUGGGACUGUUUAUUCACGGACAAGUGAAGAUCCAUUAUCCAUGUGAGCAUCCAUACCCAGAAAGCCCAGGAGCCUGGUACUGGGACCAUUCUUCAUGGACACCAGCUGCAAUCUCCCAUGUCACAUCCAGUGUCCCUAAUCGAAAGGUCUCAGGAGAGAUCUACCCCUCCCCAUUGAGUUUCAGGGGAAUAAGGACUUUUAUUUUAAGAGUGCUAGGUGACCUACUCAGGGCU
rnacentral:lncRNA from 1 species